rnacentral:lncRNA from 1 species
UAUAACUGUCUUGCUGUAUUAGUAACAAUGUUGGAUCAGAUGUCAUUACUUGGAGUAGAACAUCUGAACUCUGACUACACCAGAAUUUCAAAAUCUUAGGCAUAUAUAUUACAUGUUGUUUCAAGAAAAUGAUUUUGUUUUGAUGAACUUGGGAUUUUCCGACCCAUUUAAUGGGAUUUUUUUUUGUUAAAGUCAGGAUUACAGAAAAGUGAAAUGAAACUCACUCACAUGUAGUCCUUUGUGAAAUAAAAAGAAUUGCCAAUGAAUGAAUUCAAAGUUUGUAAAAUAACUUCUUACUCGCACUCUUUUAAUACAAUGGAAUUAUAUAUAUUGCGACUAUUGAACAUGUAUAAAAGUGUAUGAAUAGUAAACUUUAAA